rnacentral:lncRNA from 1 species
GGAGACGCCAUUAAAGACAGAAAUAAUGCAUCCACCCAAGACUAUGCUAAGGCCUUGAUUUUCUUGCGCCAUCACCUUGAUGAAGGUUUGAAACUGUCCUAAGGCCUUGAUUUUCUUGCGCCAUCACCUUGAAGAAGGUUUGAAACUGCGCUAAGGCCUUGAUUUUCUUGUGCCAUCACCUUGAUGAAGGUUUGAAACUGUGCUAAGACCUUGAUUUUCU